rnacentral:rRNA from 1 species
AGAGUGCGUAAUAGCUCACUAGUCGAGAGGUCCUGCGCCGAAAAUGUCCGGGGCUCAAACACACUGCCGAAGCCCAGGAAUUGAUGAAUGUCAAUUGGUAGAGGAGCAUUCUUAAGAGGAGGAAGCUGUACCGUAAGGAGCAGUGGACCCUUAAGAAGAGAGAAUGCCGGAAUGAGUAGCGAGAGGAAGGUGGGAAUCCUUCCGGCCGAAUAUCUAAGGUUUCCAGAGUAAAGCUGAUCUGCUCUGGGUAAGUCGGGGCCUAAGGCGAGGUCGAAAGACGUAGCCGAUGGACAACAGGUGGAGAUUCCUGUACUAUACCAUGACAGAACUGUGGGGACGCAGGCAGAGAGCGCAUCCCGGGAGUGGAAAACCCGGGGCAAGCGGAGAAGGAGUGCAUCAGGCAAAUCCGGUGCAUAAUCCAAAGACGUGACGCCAAGCGAACUAAAGUAGCGAAGUGCGUGAGCUGACUGCCGAGAAAAGCCGCUAUUGUUCAUGGUAUACCCGUACCGUAAACCGACACAGGUGGAUGAGGAGAGAAUCCUAAGGCCGACGGGAGAAGCAUUGUUAAGGAACUCGGCAAAAUGACCCCGUAACUUCGGGAGAAGGGGUGCCUGGGAAACCAGGCCGCAGAGAAUUGGCCCAAGCAACUGUUUAGCAAAAACACAGGUCUAUGCAAAACCGUAAGGUGAAGUAUAUGGGCUGACGCCUGCCCGGUGCUGGAAGGUUAAGGGGAGAUGUUAGGAAUAAUCCAAAGCGUUGAACUUAAGCCCCAGUAAACGGCGGCCGUAACUAUAACGGUCCUAAGGUAGCGAAAUUCCUUGUCGGGUAAGUUCCGACCCGCACGAAAGGCGUAAUGAUUUGGGCACUGUCUCGACAAUGCACCCGGUGAAAUUGAAAUACCAGUGAAGAUGCUGGUUACCUGCGCCAGGACGGAAAGACCCCAUGGAGCUUUACUCUAGCUUGAUACUGGGAUUCGGUAUUGCAUGUACAGGAUAGGUGGGAGACAAGGAAGCGGUGGCGCCAGCUGCCGCAGAGUCGUUGUUGGGAUACCACCCCUGCAUUACCUAGUUUCUAACAUGUGCCCGUGACCCGGGCAGUGGACAAUGUCAGGUGGGGAGUUUGACUGGGGCGGUCGCCUCCGAAAGAGUAUCGGAGGCGCUCAAAGGUUCCCUCAGGAUGGUUGGAAACCAUUCAAAGAGUGCAAAGGCAGAAGGGAGCUUAACUGCGACACCGACGGGUGGAGCAGAUACGAAAGUAGGACUUAGUGAUCCGGUGGUAUGAAAGUGGGAUUGCCAUCGCUCAACGGAUAAAAGCUACCCUGGGGAUAACAGGCU